UACAAACCUUAUCGAUAAACAAUUGGAGGGCAAGUCUGGUGCCAGCAGCCGCGGUAAUUCCAGCUCCAAUAGCGUAUAUUAACGUUGUUGCAGUUAAAAAGCUCGUAGUUGAAAUGAAGGGUAGUUGUGUAAUGAAUACAUUCGUGUAUUUUGUUAUUCUACUACCCUCCUUCUAAAUUCGAUAUAUGAGUAUUAAUUUACUUGUAUAUGGUUUUAGACGUUUACUGUGAGAAAAUUAGAGUGUUCAAAGCAGGCAUUUGCUUGAAUAUAUUAGCAUGGAAUAAUCAUGUAUGAUUUUCAUGAUGUAUUUGAUUGGUUUGGUUCAUGAGAAUAAGAUUAAAAGGGACAGUUGGGGGUAUUCAUAUUCAAUAGUCAGAGGUGAAAUUCUCGGAUUUAUGGAAGAUGAAC
rnacentral:rRNA from 1 species